rnacentral:rRNA from 1 species
CGUACACUCCUGCGGGAGGCAGCAGUGGGGAAUAUUGGACAAUGGGCGCAAGCCUGAUCCAGCCAUGCCGCGUGAGUGAUGAAGGCCCUAGGGUUGUAAAGCUCUUUUGUGCGGGAAGAUAAUGACGGUACCGCAAGAAUAAGCCCCGGCUAACUUCGUGCCAGCAGCCGCGGUAAUACGAAGGGGGCUGGCGUUGCUCGGAAUCACUGGGCGUAAAGGGUGCGUAGGCGGGUCUUUAAGUCAGGGGUGAAAUCCUGGAGCUCAACUCCAGAACUGCCUUUGAUACUGAAGAUCUUGAGUUCGGGAGAGGUGAGUGGAACUGCGAGUGUAGAGGUGAAAUUCGUAGAUAUUCGCAAGAACACCAGUGGCGAAGGCGGCUCACUGGCCCGAUACUGACGCUGAGGCACGAAAGCGUGGGGAGCAAACAGGAUUAGAUACCUUGGUAGUCCCAUGA